rnacentral:rRNA from 1 species
AGACGACGCUGGCGGCGUGCCUAAUACAUGCAAGUCGAACGGUCUUUUCUAUGGAAGCUUGCUUCCACUGAGAAGAUAGUGGCGAACGGGUGAGUAACACGUGGGUAACCUGCCCAUAAGAGGGGGAUAACAUCCGGAAACGGGUGCUAAUACCGCAUAGUUUUUCUUGAUCGCAUGAUUGAGAAAGGAAAGACGGCCUUUGUGCUGUCGCUUAUGGAUGGACCCGCGGCGUAUUAGUUAGUUGGUGAGGUAACGGCUCACCAAGACGAUGAUACGUAGCCGACCUGAGAGGGUGAUCGGCCACAUUGGGACUGAGACACGGCCCAAACUCCUACGGGAGGCAGCAGUAGGGAAUCUUCCGCAAUGGACGAAAGUCUGACGGAGCAACGCCGCGUGAGUGAAGAAAGGUUUUCGGAUCGUAAAACUCUGUUGUCAGAGAAGAACAAGUUGGAGAGUAACUGCUCCAGCCUUGACGGUAUCUGACCAGAAAGCCACAGCUAACUACGUGCCAGCCGCCGC